rnacentral:rRNA from 1 species
UACGUAGGGCGCAAGCGUUGUCCGGAAUUAUUGGGCGUAAAGAGCUCGUAGGCGGCUUGUCACGUCGGAUGUGAAAGCCCGGGGCUUAACCCCGGGUCUGCAUUCGAUACGGGCUAGCUAGAGUGUGGUAGGGGAGAUCGGAAUUCCUGGUGUAGCGGUGAAAUGCGCAGAUAUCAGGAGGAACACCGGUGGCGAAGGCGGCAUCCUGGACCAACACUGACACUGAGGAGCGAAAGCCAGGGGAGCAAACGGG